CAAAAUUCAAAAGAAACAUAAAUAUGAUAUGCUUUUAGUCAAAAAAAACACAUUGUACACGAGUUCCGGUCUCCUCCUUCAAUACUUUUUACAAAGAGCAAAAAAAAAAAAAUCAUCAAGAUCAAAGAAAUAUUUUAAAAUUAAUUAUUUUUAUAUUUUAUACUCCUACUAAUAAAUAUUUAUUCCAUGAUUACCCUUAUAUUAGUGCACAUAAUAUUAAUUAGACAAAACAAUUAACACUGUUUGACUCACGGUGGUCGCUACCGCGACGGUGGGUUUUCUUGUGGGUUCGUUUUUCGUCGAUUUGUUUUGCUCUUCUCCUUCCUGUGACUGUUCCUCUUUAUUUAAUCCUCAUUUCGUUGCUUUUCCUUUCGGUGCUGCCGGUUGCAAAAAACAAGGAGUUUAUUAUGGGUGUCGAUCUCAUAUAUGGGUUUCCUUUUUCUAAUCUGAGUCGUCAGCUUCAUCUUCUGGCUUGGUUAAGCUGAUUCGGUUUCACGGGAGGUUUUGUGCAAGCUUCGUCGUUACCCUCAAUACACCGUUGUUCUGUUAUCAGCUGGUUUUUGUGUUUUUUUUUUCUCAUUUUAUGGGUUUGCUGGUUGUUUUGUGUGGUUUGCCGGAUUCUCUGUUGUCGGGUGGUAUGUUCGUUGGAGUCUUCGGUGGUUUUGUGUACUUGAUCAAAGAUUGGCGAUUCUAGAUUUUGGCCUUCUUGGUGGUUGGUUUGGAAGUUCGCAGCUUGUUUGUGAUUAAAAAACCCGAAAGGGUCUCUUUCUAUUAACAUAUUUGUUGAGAUUUGCUGGUUUCAAGGCGUGAUGUCAACCUACACUAUGGUACUUCAUGCUCAAAGGAGCUUUAUGCUUGCUGGGUUCAGGGAGUUGUUGGUACUUGAAUUUUGAUUCCGUGUUGGCGGUCGAUCCAUUCGCUAUAAUUAAACCUUAAUUAUCCUUUGCAGUUAUUUACUUUUUAUUAUUUUUUUUGUAACUUGGUUUCGCGACCGUACUCAGGUUCGCUAGGUUGCGUUCGUGAUUAGCGAAUUUUUGCUAGGAUGAAUUAGGAUUGGUCCACUAAGUUUAUUUUAUCACGAUGUAUCCCUUUUUGAGUUGUAUCUAGGUCAGGUCUUAUGUUCCUCCGAUCUUUAUAUUACUUCUAUUUUAU